rnacentral:tRNA from 1 species
UAACAUCUAGCCUAAAACCAAAAGAAGAUAUAAUCUAACUUAAAACUUAAAAUACAAAAAUUAAAUCAUUUUAU